GAUGAACGCUGGCGGCGUGCCUAAUACAUGCAAGUCGAGCGAACAGACGAGGAGCUUGCUCCUCUGACGUUAGCGGCGGACGGGUGAGUAACACGUGGAUAACCUACCUAUAAGACUGGGAUAACUUCGGGAAACCGGAGCUAAUACCGGAUAAUAUAUUGAACCGCAUGGUUCAAUAGUGAAAGACGGUUUUGCUGUCACUUAUAGAUGGAUCCGCGCCGCAUUAGCUAGUUGGUAAGGUAACGGCUUACCAAGGCGACGAUGCGUAGCCGACCUGAGAGGGUGAUCGGCCACACUGGAACUGAGACACGGUCCAGACUCCUACGGGAGGCAGCAGUAGGGAAUCUUCCGCAAUGGGCGAAAGCCUGACGGAGCAACGCCGCGUGAGUGAUGAAGGUCUGCGGAUCGUAAAACGCUGUUAUUAGGGAAGAACAAAUGUGUAAGUAACGAUGCACGUCUUGACGGUACCUAAUCAGAAAGCCACGGCUAACUACGU
rnacentral:rRNA from 1 species